rnacentral:rRNA from 1 species
GGGUUGUGAGGUUAAGCGACUAAGCGUACACGGUGGAUGCCCUGGCAGUCAGAGGCGAUGAAGGGCGUGCUAAUCUGCGAUAAGCGCCGGUAAGGUGAUAUGAACCGUUAUAACCGGCGAUACCCGAAUGGGGAAACCCAGUGUGAUUCGUCACACUAUCAUUAACUGAAUCCAUAGGUUAAUGAGGCGAACCGGGGGAACUGAAACAUCUAAGUACCCCGAGGAAAAGAAAUCAACCGAGAUUCCCCCAGUAGCGGCGAGCGAACGGGGAGGAGCCCAGAGCCUGAAUCAGCAUGUGUGUUAGUGGAAGCGUCUGGAAAGGCGCGCGAUACAGGGUGACAGCCCCGUACACAAAAGCGCAUGUGUUGUGAGCUCGAUGAGUAGGGCGGGACACGUGGUAUCCUGUCUGAAUAUGGGGGGACCAUCCUCCAAGGCUAAAUACUCCUGACUGACCGAUAGUGAACCAGUACCGUGAGGGAAAGGCGAAAAGAACCCCGGCGAGGGGAGUGAAAAAGAACCUGAAACCGUGUACGUACAAGCAGUGGGAGCAC